GCAUAUCAAUAAGCGGAGGAAAAGAAACUAACAAGGAUUCCCCUAGUAACUGCGAGUGAAGCGGGAAGAGCUCAAAUUUUAAAUCUGGCAGAGUAAUGACUGCCCGAAUUGUAAUUUAGAGAAGUGUUUUCUGUGCCAAGCCGUGUACAAGUCUCCUGGAAUGGAGCGUCAUAGAGGGUGAGAAUCCCGUCUUUGACACGGACUUUUUAUGGUGCUCUGUGAUACACUCUCGAAGAGUCGAGUUGUUUGGGAAUGCAGCUCAAAAUGGGUGGUGAACUCCAUCUAAAGCUAAAUAUUGGCGAGAGACCGAUAGCGAACAAGUACCGUGAGGGAAAGAUGAAAAGCACUUUGGAAAGAGAGUGAAACAGUACGUGAAAUUGCUGAAAGGGAAACGCUUGAAGUCAGUCACAUUGGCUAGAACUCAACCUCACCCUUUGUUGGGAGUGGUGUACUUUCUAGUGAAUGGGCCAGCAUCACUUUUGGCUAUUGGAAAAGGGUUGAAGGAAUGUGGCACUCUGUUUUCAGGGUGUGUUAUAGCCUUUGAUCGUAUACAGUAGCUGGGAGUGAGGAAAGCCUUUAUUGUAGGAUGCUGGCAUAAUGGCUUUAAACGACCCGUCUUGAAACACGGACCAAGGAGUCUAACAUGCCUGCGAGUGUUUGGGUGUUUAAAACCCAUGCGCGUAAUGAAAGUGAAAGUUGGGAAGGCUGUCGUGGCCUGCACUGAUGCCCGGACUUGAGAUUUAUCGACAGUUCUGCGGUAGAGCAUGUAUGUUAGGACCCGAAAGAUGGUGAACUAUGCCUGAAUAGGGUGAAGCCAGAGGAAACUCUGGUGGAGGCUCGUAGCGAUUCUGACGUGCAAAUCGAUCGUCAAAUUUGGGUAUAGGGGCGAAAGACUAAUCGAACCAUCUAGUAGCUGGUUCCUGCCGA
rnacentral:rRNA from 1 species